AUGAAGAGAACAAUUGAGUCCUUUCAUCUUUUCAGUGUCUUAUGUCCACGGUGGAUAGAAGAAAAAUUAAGAAGCUUAGUGAUUCAAGGAAGAUUUAGAUCAGUCACUGAGGAGGAACUAGCAGGAAGAGAUUAUCAAGGCAGGCUCCUGAGCUGUGUGGCAAUUGAGCACGUACCUGUUGGAAAUGCUUCAGGCAGAGAGAAACCUGCCUGCAGAGCCCUGGUACAGCAGGGUGCUGGCCUGAAACCAAUGUUCUGUGGGACCUGGAGCCAGAAACAGGAUCACGGUUUCAGGAAGGGCCCUAAAAGAAGGGCUCUUCUUUCAGAAUUCAGUGCUUCAGUGACCAUGGUUUCUCUUCUGCUAAGGCUCUCCUGUUGUCUUAGAAAAUUAUCAUCCCAUUUACUUAAUAAGCCUGACUUCAAGCUUCAGGCAUUAGCCUGCCAAGAUGAUGCAAACAGCUCUCAUCUAUUUGCUCUCAGCAAGCUUGCCUGCCUUGCCCUCUUCUGUGCUGUGAAACCCAGAAAUUCCACACAAAUUGUAUUUUUUAAGAAGGUGUUUCUAAUAGAGAUGAUUUGGAAGGGAAUGUCGAGCCUUCUUGAAAUAUGGAGGAGACAUUGGCAAGACUACUAUGUUUUCUGUUUGCCUGUGAAUGGGAAAAUGCUAUUCAUGUCAAACAGAGGAUGCAUAAAGUCAUGGUGA
rnacentral:lncRNA from 1 species